CAAGAUCAAGAGUUGUAUGUUCUACUCACUGAGCCAAUCAGACUCUGUAACCACAGCCUUAACAAGGAACUCAAUGAAGAUCAUAUCCAAAACCAUAUCCCCAGUCCUACCGUCUGGCUGGAGUUUCUGCUAUCUCUGACUAUGCGCACAAUAUUCUCUUUCCUCCUUGUGGAAAUCCUUGAAAUAUCUCAAAUCCAUGGACUAAACAAAUAGCAAUCACUCUCUUAA